AAGUCGUAACAAGGUCUCCGUUGGUGAACCAGCGGAGGGAUCAUUACCAGAGUGCCAUAGGCUCUCCAACCCAUUGUGAACUUACCAAACGUUCCCUCGGCGGGCUCAGCGCGCGGCGGCCUCCGGGCCUCCGGGCGUCCGCCGGGGAAAACCAAACCCUGUUUUAAUCGUAUUUCUCUGAGGGGCGAAAGCCCGAAAACAAAAUGAAUCAAAACUUUCAACAACGGAUCUCUUGGCUCUG
rnacentral:misc_RNA from 1 species